UACGGAGGGUGCAAGCAUUAAUCGGAAUUAUUGGGCGUAAAGGGCGCGUAGGCGGAACUAUAAGUCAGAUGUGAAAUUUCGAGGCUCAACUUCGGAGCUGCAUUUGAAACUAUAGAUCUAGAGGAUAGGCGGAGGAAACGGAAUUCCACGUGUAGCGGUGAAAUGCGUAGAUAUGUGGAAGAACACCAGUGGCGAAAGCGGUUUUCUAGCUUAAAUCCAGACGCUGAGGCGCGAGAGCAAGGGGA
rnacentral:rRNA from 1 species